rnacentral:snRNA from 1 species
UCACUCUGGCUUCUCUUCAACGUAUGAUUUCUUUCGCCUUUUACUAAAGAAUUCCGUGGAGAGGAGCAGUUCAAUGAGUCUUGAACAUUUUUCGAUAUCCGACUUUGGUCGGUUU